rnacentral:rRNA from 1 species
UACGUAGGGGGCAAGCGUUGUCCGGAAUUAUUGGGCGUAAAGCGCGCGCAGGCGGUUCAUUAAGUCUUCUGUUUAAUGCAUGGGCUCAACCCGUGUUCGCAGGGGAAACUGGUGGACUGGAGUGCAGGAGAGGAAAGUGGAAUUCCCAGUGUAGCGGUGAAAUGCGUAGAUAUUGGGAGGAACACCAGUGGCGAAGGCGGCUCACUGGACCGGUACUGACGCUGAUGCGCGAAAGCGUGGGGAGCAAACGGG